rnacentral:tRNA from 1 species
GCCUCAGUGGCGGAAUUGGUGGACGCAGGGACUGGCACUCCCCCGGAAUGUUGCAGUACACGCUGCACACCGUGCGGAUUGGACUCCCGCCUGGGGCACCA